UGGGGAAUAUUGCACAAUGGGCGCAAGCCUGAUGCAGCCAUGCCGCGUGUAUGAAGAAGGCCUUCGGGUUGUAAAGUACUUUCAGCGGGGAGGAAGGGAGUAAAGUUAAUACCUUUGCUCAUUGACGUUACCCGCAGAAGAAGCACUGGCUAACUCCGUGCCAGCAGCCGCGGUAAUACGGAGGGUGCAAGCGUUAAUCGGAAUUACUGGGCGUAAAGCGCACGCAGGCGGUUUGUUAAGUCAGAUGUGAAAUCCCCGGGCUCAACCUGGGAACUGCAUCUGAUACUGGCAAGCUUGAGUCUCGUAGAGAGGGGUAGAAUUCCAGGUGUAGCGGUGAAAUGCGUAGAGAUCUGGAGAGAUACCGGUGGCGAAAGCGGCCCCCUGGACGAAGACUGACGCUCAGGUGCGAAAGAGUGGGGAGCAAACAGG
rnacentral:rRNA from 1 species